rnacentral:rRNA from 1 species
CCUACGGGAGGCAGCAGUGGGGAAUAUUGCACAAUGGGGGAAACCCUGAUGCAGCGACGCCGCGUGAGUGAAGAAGUAAUUCGUUAUGUAAAGCUCUAUCAGCAGGGGAGAAAAUGACGGUACCUGAGUAAGAAGCCCCGGCUAACUACGUGCCAGCAGCCGCGGUAAUACGUCGGGGCAAGCGUUAUCCGGGUUUACUGGGGGUAAAGGGAGCGUAGACGGCAGUGCAAGUCUGGAGUGAAAGGCGGGGGGUCAACCCCCGGACAGCUGUGGAAACUGUACGGCUGGAGUGCAGGAGAGGUAAGUGGAAUUCCUGGUGUAGCGGUGAAAUGCGUAGAUAUUAGGAGGAACCCCAGUGGCGAAGGCGGCUUACUGGACUGUAACUGACGUUGAGGCUCGAAAGCGUGGGGAGCAAACAGGAUUAGAUACCCGAGUAGUC